CCUACGGGGCGCUGCAGUGGGGAAUAUUGGACAAUGGGCGAAAGCCUGAUCCAGCCAUGCCGCGUGUGUGAAGAAGGCCUUCGGGUUGUAAAGCACUUUCAGUGGGGAAGAAAGCCUUGGGGCUAAUACCCUCGAGGAAGGACAUCACCCACAGAAGAAGCACCGGCUAACUCCGUGCCAGCAGCCGCGGUAAUACGGAGGGUGCGAGCGUUAAUCGGAAUUACUGGGCGUAAAGCGCGCGUAGGCGGUCUGAUAAGCCGGUUGUGAAAGCCCCGGGCUCAACCUGGGAACGGCAUCCGGAACUGUCAGGCUAGAGUGCAGGAGAGGAAGGUAGAAUUCCCGGUGUAGCGGUGAAAUGCGUAGAGAUCGGGAGGAAUACCAGUGGCGAAGGCGGCCUUCUGGACUGACACUGACGCUGAGGUGCGAACGCGUGGGUAGCAAACAGGAUUAGAUACCCUGGUAGUC
rnacentral:rRNA from 1 species